rnacentral:tRNA from 1 species
ACCCUGGUGGCUCAGACGGUAAAGCGUCUGCCUGCAAUGUGGAAGACCUGGGUUCAAUUCCUGGGUAGGGAA